AAAUCCUUGACAUUGUGGAUAAAAAUGAAUCUGCUGUGAUCAUUGCUCCUACAUCAUCAGGAAAAUCAGAGGCCUCUUAUUAUUGCAUUGAAAAAUUUUUGAGAGAUGGCGAUGAAGGUGUAAUAGUGUAUGUUGCACCUACACAGGCUGUUGUUAAUCAAGUGAAGGCAACUAUUGACAGUCGAUUUAACAGAAUAUUUCCAGAUGGCCAGUUCCUAUGUGGGGUUCUCACACAAGGUUAUCGGCAUGUGGUCCUGGAUUGUCAGAUACUAGUGACAACCCCUCAGUGUUUUGAAGUCUUACUUCUGUUGCCUCAUCACCAAGAAUGGAUCAAAAGAAUGAGAUAUGUUAUACUUGAUGAGGCUAUUCUGCCUUGAGCAAAUGAACAUUGCUUUGGCCAAGUGAG